GAGGGACCGGGAAGGGUCGGCGAGAAGGGCGGAGAACCGGGCAGGAACCGGGGGCUUGCAGCCGCCCCGAGCAGGUAGAUGCGUCGGAGAUCGCGAGGCUUUUUGCGCAUUUGCUCUUUCCCACUCUACACCUAGGAAAGACUCCCCGGAAGCCGGCUUGUACCAUUGGGCCAUCUCACUCAGUAAUUUUCUGGGUACACGGACCUGUAAAGUAGGUUUGGCUCAAAGGACUGCAGUGUGAAGGUGGGACUAAUGUGGAGGACUCGGAUGAUGAUUCUGGAGAAGAUGGUCAUGAUUAGCAAGUAAAAAACACCACCACAGCAGAAAAGAGAAAGUUUCCCGAGUCAAAUUGACCUGAAGAGUCUACAAAACCUUUAUUAUGUAUGCUUCUAUCCUCUAGUCUACAUCAAGCUGAAUGAUGUUCACCAUAUCCUGAAUCAGUUUGCUGCUUGAUUAAACAUUUGAAUUGUG